GGACCCGCACAAGCGGUGGAGCAUGUGGUUUAAUUCGAAGAUACGCGAAGAACCUUACCAAGGCUUGACAUGUUAGGAAUCUUGUAGAAAUAUGAGAGUGCUAGCUUGCUAGAACCUAAACACAGGUGCUGCAUGGCCGUCGUCAGCUCGUGUCGUGAGAUGUUGGGUUAAGUCCCGCAACGAGCGCAACCCUCGUCCUUAGUUGCCAGCGGUUCGGCCGGGAACUCUAAGGAGACUGCCUGCGUAAGCGGGAGGAAGGUGGGGAUGAUGUCAGGUCAUCACGGCCCUUAUGCCUUGGGCAACACACGUGCUACAAUGGGACGUACAAAGAGUCGCAAUACCGCGAGGUGGAGCCAAUCUUAAAAACGUCUCUCAGUUCGGAUUGUAGUCUGCAACUCGACUACAUGAAGUCGGAAUCGCUAGUAAUCGUAGAUCAGCUAUGCUACGGUGAAUACGUUCCCGGGUCUU
rnacentral:rRNA from 1 species